rnacentral:rRNA from 1 species
GGGAAAUUGGGGGGCUUUUUAUAUAUGUUUUUUUCCCCGUCAGGACGAACGCUGGCGGCGUGCCUAAUACAUGCAAGUCGAGCGGACAGAAGGGAGCUUGCUCCCGGAUGUUAGCGGCGGACGGGUGAGUAACACGUGGGUAACCUGCCUGUAAGACUGGGAUAACUCCGGGAAACCGGAGCUAAUACCGGAUAGUUCCUUGAACCGCAUGGUUCAAGGAUGAAAGACGGUUUCGGCUGUCACUUACAGAUGGACCCGCGGCGCAUUAGCUAGUUGGUGAGGUAACGGCUCACCAAGGCGACGAUGCGUAGCCGACCUGAGAGGGUGAUCGGCCACACUGGGACUGAGACACGGCCCAGACUCCUACGGGAGGCAGCAGUAGGGAAUCUUCCGCAAUGGACGAAAGUCUGACGGAGCAACGCCGCGUGAGUGAUGAAGGUUUUCGGAUCGUAAAGCUCUGUUGUUAGGGAAGAACAAGUGCAAGAGUAACUGCUUGCACCUUGACGGUACCUAACCAGAAAGCCACGGCUAACUACGUGCCAGCAGCCGCGGUAAUACGUAGGUGGCAAGCGUUGUCCGGAAUUAUUGGGCGUAAAGGGCUCGCAGGCGGUUUCUUAAGUCUGAUGUGAAAGCCCCCGGCUCAACCGGGGAGGGUCAUUGGAAACUGGGAAACUUGAGUGCAGAAGAGGAGAGUGGAAUUCCACGUGUAGCGGUGAAAUGCGUAGAGAUGUGGAGGAACACCAGUGGCGAAGGCGACUCUCUGGUCUGUAACUGACGCUGAGAGCGAAAGAACGCCC